GGUUGUCUACCAUCUUCAGGCUACAAAUGAUAACAAAAAAUUAAAUAACAGAACAGAACAUCGAACAUUCAUGAAGAUCAUUGGUUAUCACAGAAACAAACAAACUAACUAAAUGAGAAACUAAAAAAAAAUAAUUAAAAAAUAAAAAUAAACUAAGAAUCCCUAGUAUGUUAAAAAAGGCAUUUAAAGGAGUGUCUGAUAAACAAGGGAUUAGUAGUUGCCUCUUCCAGUUGGUCAUGGGAUCUGGUUUUUCUGCUGUUCAUAAGGUGUUGGUUCAGCACAGUGAGGUCCAGCCUCUUCAUGAUUCCCUUCUCUGCUUAGAGAGGCCUCUAGAAGAUAUCUCCAUGCCAAGGGUAGUUGAAUUCCUGGUCAGUCAUUUAGGAGUCAUCUGCAUCUUGCCGUUUUAAAAUCUCCAAGGUUUCAGUUAUUAAUGCGUGUGAGUUAACAAUAACAGGUUUUAUGAUCUCAGCUUGGUUUCAGUGUUUAUUAAGUGUUGUAUCAUAUGUCUGUACAGCAAGGGCUGUUGUCAGUUUGGCCUUACAAGUUAAAUAUAUCAUUUCUGUGCUCCUAUAGACAUUGGGCUAGAGGUCUAUUGGUUAUGCCAAAGUAAGCGGCUUGUUCCUGCAUCACCUGAUCUGUAACUGGUAUUUUAUACACAUCUGAUUUCUCAUACUCCUUUAGACAUGAAUAAUAAAAAUAAAACUGUUGUGAUAAUUGAUAUAUACCAUACAAGCUUACUGAUGAUAAUUUGGUUAAGUGUUAUAAUAAAGUAGAAAAAUAUAAAAAUUUAGUUAAUACAAUUAAAAUUAAAUUUGAUAUUCAAAAUUUUGAAGUGCAUGGCCUUGCUGUUGGGACUAGAGGAGGAUGGUGUCCCAGAGAGAGUGACUUCAGUAAGAAAUGGAAGAUCAGUUAUAAGAACAAAAGAGAAUUGUGAUAUUGCUCAGAAUAGAAUGACAAAUAUGAAAAUUUUUAUAUAUAGUCUUAAAUUCGCGUGGAAAGUCUUUAUAAAUUAGUG
rnacentral:lncRNA from 1 species